rnacentral:snoRNA from 1 species
UGGAUCAAUGAAGAGAACUUGGGGGAUCUGAACUAAGAUAUUGUAACUAAACCUGUGUAUGACUCUUGAGGUCUUU